UAGUGGCGGACGGGUGAGUAACGCGUGAGCAAUCUGCCUUUAAGAGGGGGAUAACAGUCGGAAACGACUGCUAAUACCGCAUAACGUAUGGAAUUCGCAUGAUUUCCAUACCAAAGGAGCAAUCCGCUUUUAGAUGAGCUCGCGUCUGAUUAGCUAGUUGGCGGGGUAACGGCCCACCAAGGCGACGAUCAGUAGCCGGACUGAGAGGUUGAACGGCCACAUUGGGACUGAGACACGGCCCAGACUCCUACGGGAGACAGCAGUGGGGAAUAUUGCGCAACGGGGGAAACCCUGACGCAGCAACGCCGCGUGAUUGAAGAAGGCCUUCGGGUUGUAAAGAUCUUUAAUUCGGGACGAAAAAAAUGACGGUACCGAAAGAAUAAGCUCCGGCUAACUACGUGCCAGCAGCCGCGGUAAUACGUAGGGAGCAAGCGUUAUCCGGAUUUACUGGGUGUAAAGGGCGCGCAGGCGGGCUUGCAAGUUGGGAGUGAAAUCCCGGGGCUCAACCCCGGAACUGCUUUCAAAACUGUGAGUCUUGAGUGAUGGAGAGGCAGGCGGAAUUCCCAGUGUAGCGGUGAAAUGCGUAGAUAUUGGGAGGAACACCAGUGGCGAAGGCGGCCUGCUGGACAUUAACUGACGCUGAGGCGCGAAAGCGUGGGGAGCAAGCAGGAUUAGAUACCCUGGUAGUCCACGCCGUAAACGAUGGAUACUAGGUGUGGGGGGUAUUGACCCCCUCCGUGCCGCAGUUAACACAAUAAGUAUCCCACCUGGGGAGUACGGCCGCAAGGUGAA
rnacentral:rRNA from 1 species